GCUUCCUGCAAGCAGAGAGACUUUGUAUGGGACACUCAUGCAUGCCUACUUCUGGGAAUCUCUCUGAGUGUGAUGUGUGGACACCAGGACACCAUGAUCAGGGAUGUGAGGCCACAGGAGCAAUUGCCUUAGCCGGACCCAAAGGAUGUAAAAACACUAAAGGGGGAGAUGUUUUUGCCCUGAGGCUUUCACUGGGAACUACCAGAUGCACUGUGUCUGUUGCCAGACUAGGAAAAUUGUGGUGCCUGUCCAUGUGAAGAGUCUCCUUGAUGAGUUCCUUCUCAAUCCUUUUUCGCAAGGACCCGGGGAGUUUGUGCUUCCUGCAAGCAGAACUACUUUGUAUGGGACACUCAUGCAUGCCUACUCUGGGAAUCUCUCUGACUGUGAUGUGCGGACACCAGGACACCAUGAUCAGGGAUUGUGAGGCCACAGGACUAAUUACCUUAGCCGGACCCAAAUGGAAUCCCGGAAAAACCAUCUGAACACCUGCACACCCUGAAGUCACCCACUAGAUGGCACGACUACCGUGGCACACCCCCCAAAACUCUAGAUGUCACUCAAUGCGAUCUGAAGAACCUGAUACACAGACAUCAAGGACAGAACUUUCUUCAUGCCUGGUUACCGUUCCUGCUUCUGACCUGCUUGUCACGUGUUGGCAGUUCCAGCUGGCUAUCUACAGAAAAGCAACAUUCCAGUGGCUGACCUCCCUCAUGCAGCGUUGCAUCCCCUGAAAAUUCUUCCCAUAGCCAUCUACUUCAGACUGAGACUUGUAUCGGACUUUCUGACAUACCCUAUAUACAUUUUACACAAUUUUGAAGCAGCUUAUUUCCCUUCACGCUGCUGGUUUUUCAUAGACUGAUCCUGAGUAAUUCAUAGACUUUACUGACUAUUGCCUUGAGGACUAUACAAUGCCAAAUAGCCCCUCUUUUUGGUGGGUCAUGCCUCCCGCCUCCCCCUCAUUAUGUACCCUUGCCCCUUUCCCCACCCAAGCAGGGAAUGUUCCUUUACACACCAAUCCUUCCCUUCACACCACACUGGCUUUUACUACUCCCCUACUUGUCCCUUCCUAUUUUGUUAUAUCAUUUAGGCUUAUGCCCAAAAGGUUUCUGCCCCAUGAUAGUCUUUUACAGAUUUUGUACAUCUUAUACAAUGACUAGAUAGAAAGAUAGAAAAGAUGUAGAGAUAUUGUGAAGAGAUGGUUGAGCAGGCUGAACUUAAACCUAUGAGAUGAGUCUCUCCAGGUAAGUCUCUCUUUUUAAAGAGGGGUUGAGCACAGGAGGACGCAUAAAUGUCACAAGGUUUGCAGCCAUUUAAGCCUUCCCUCCUCCACAGAAAGUCCUACAUCUUCCCACCUGAGCAUGGCAUUCCUCUAAAACAUUUAAGCCUGCUCCAUUCCAUUUUUCUUUACUGUGUCCAUUUAGAUAUAAAGGGAUAGGAGGAGAUGUUGCUGAGGAGUUAUUCUGAUGCAGUCUCUGCCCCCAGGUUUUUCUAUGCCCCGCAAAAUCCUAGAGUGCCCCCUUUCAACCAAUCCUGGCCCUACACGUCACCCCUGGUUGUCGCCCAAUAAAAAGCCCCCUCACCCCCCACUCUCUCUCUGGGCUCUCAGCUCUCCCUCUCUGAGAUCUGGCUCCUGCUCUGCCCACCAUGGUCAGAUAGUGGGGACGGCCAUUGUCGGCUGACUCCACGUGGUCUGAACCAAACCCCCCUAGCCUAUAAUAAAGAUUUGU